UAUCAUAGAUAAUCACAUCAUGUUCAUUGAUUAGAGUUGAGCAAUAGCAUCAGACUAAGUAGUAAUAAUCCGACCCAAAUAGGUAAACAAGGACAUGGAUAACAAAAGCUAGUCAAUCCUUAGGUAUAAAUGUGUAAUGCGGGAGGUGAAUUAAAGAAUGAAUAGGACAGAGAUAGGUCAAAGGACACUUGCCUCCACCAACCGACUGCUGCUCAGGGGCUUCUCCUGCGAAUUCCUCGGGCUCUUCGACCGGAUCGUUCUCUAUGCGAGCGCAAACAUACAUACAUCCAUCCACAUAUUUAAUACAAAAGAACAGUACACCAUACAAGAUAACAAAUAAAGUGAAUAUGCAUCAAGUAUGACAUUCGAUAACGCAUUUGUUAUGGUUAGAAAGAAACGGGAAAGGUCUCGCAGGGGGUUAAAUCUUAUGCACUAAUGACACAAUUGGUUUUUAACAAAAUAAUUCUGUUAUAUAUAUUUAUAUAUACUAAUGGAAACCUAAUCACUUUUAGUUGAUCAACAUUGCACAGGGUAAACAAUUAACUACGUGAAUCAAUAGCAUAACGGAAUUUUAAAUUAAACUUCCUAUUUUCCCAUAGCAUGAACAGUGAUUAGCCUACUUAAAAUACAGUAAUUAUGAUCACAGAAA
rnacentral:lncRNA from 7 species